rnacentral:rRNA from 1 species
CCUACGGGGAGGCAGCAGUGGGGAAUAUUUGACAAUGGGGGGAACCCUGAUCCAGCGACGCCGCGUGCGUGAAGAAGUAUUUCGGUAUGUCAAGCUCUAUCAGCAGGGAAGAAAGAACUGACGGUACCUGACUAAGAAGCCCCGACUAACUACGUGCCAGCAGCCGCGUUAAUACGUCGGGGGGAAGCGUUAUCCGAAUUUACUGGGUGUAACGUGAGCGUAGACGGCGAUGCAAGUCUGAAGUGAAAGGCGGGGGCCCAACCACCGGACUGAUUUGGAAACUGUAUGGCUGGAGUGCAGGAGAGGUAAGUGGAAUUCCUAGUGUAGCGGUGAAAUGCGUAGAUAUUAGGAGGAAUACCAGUGGCGAAGGCGGCUUACUGGACUGUAACUGACGUUGAGGCUCGAAAGCGUGGGGAGCAAACAGGAUUAGAUACCCGGGUAGUC